rnacentral:ncRNA from 1 species
AAUAACAAAAUGAACGAAAAAGUAGUCUAUUUACCACAAUUUGUUCAGAAAGUCUCGGUAGCUGUGAAGAGAUCAAAUUAAUAGAUGAAAAAUGACUCGUGAUUGGCAUUCCCGAAUAAUCAAGGAAUGAUGGCUAGUACCCAUUAAAAUACUGACAUGUGCAAUACAUGUUGUUGAGAAAAGUAAGUGUGAAUUUACUUUUGAAAUAGAAUGGUACCACGCCAAAUAGCGUUUCUAUC